rnacentral:rRNA from 1 species
AGUCGAACGCGAAAGGCCCCUUCGGGGGCCGAGUAGAGUGGCGUCCGGGUGAGUAACACGUGGGUAAUCUACCUUCGGGUGGGGAAUAACAGUCGGAAACGACUGCUAAUACCGCAUAAUGCAGCGGCACCUUAUGGUGACAGUUGUUAAAGCGGGGGAUCGCAAGACCUCGCGCCUGAAGAGGAGCCCGCGGCGGAUUAGCUAGUUGGCAGGGUAACGGCCUACCAAGGCGACGAUCCGUAGCCGGCCUGAGAGGGCGGUCGGCCACACUGGCACUGACACACGGGCCAGACUCCUACGGGAGGCAGCAGUCGGGAAUUUUGGGCAAUGGGCGAAAGCCUGACCCAGCAACGCCGCGUGAAGGAUGAAGCUUUUCGGAGUGUAAACUUCAUAAGAAUGGGGCGAAUAAGGAGGGGAUAAUACCCCCUUUGAUGACGGUACCAUUUGUAAGCUCCGGCUAACUCCGUGCCAGCAGCCGCGGUAAUACGGGGGGAGCAAGCGUUGUUCGGAUUUACUGGGCGUAAAGGGCGCGUAGGCGGCGUGACAAGUCACUUGUGAAAUCUCCGGGCUUAACCCGGAGCGGCCAAGUGAUACUGUCGUGCUAGAGUGCGGAAGGGGCUACUGGAAUUCUCGGUGUAGCGGUGAAAUGCGUAGAUAUCGAGAGGAACACCUGCGGCGAAGGCGGGUAGCUGGGCCGACACUGACGCUGAGGCGCGAAAGCCAGGGGAGCGAACGGGAUUAGAUACCCCGGUAGUCCUGGC